GCCCGAUUAACUCAGUUGGUUAGAGUGUCAGACUUGUAAGUUCUAAGUUCUGAUUAAUAAUCCACCAAACCACCACUAAUGACAUCUCAGUUAUGGUAAGAGAUCUGAAAGUCGCGAGUUCGACCCUCGCAUCGGGCG
rfam:Neosartorya fischeri NRRL 181 1099437636247 genomic scaffold, whole genome shotgun sequence.